AACAAAUAACAUAAGCCCAGCUCUCAAAUAAAAUUUAAAACUAACAUAAGCCCAAUCACAUAAUAAAAAAAAUUAACUAUAAUUAACAUCACUAAUUAAAGGUACAUAAGCUUAUCUCAUUCCCAAACACGCCGCCACUCAACUACUGUUUCCAAACCCUAACCAACCAAAACCCAAUCCGAGCGCAGCCGGCGAUUACGAAGACAAAGUCUCCACCGCUUGAAUAAACGGUGACACCGAGUAAUCAUCAAGCCGCUGACUGCGGUUAUUCCAAUUUUUCUCGGCGUAAACAACGCAGCGACGAAAUACGCAACAAUACAAAAAAUACAGAUCGAAAGAAAUCCAACAUUGUUUCGUCUAAAACAUCCAAGCCGACAUACAUCUUGAAAACCCUAACUCCGAUCGGCGGAAACUAUGUCCGGCGAAGAAAUCGGCCAAAACUGGUACAAACUUCAACCACAUAAGGUUUAAAUUCAGCAUAUAUACUAAAGAGCAGUAAUGGUGCUAUCUGCUUUGAGAAAGAGUUUGAAUGGUAUAUACAGACAUUUAACAUUUUAUAAGUAUCUUUCUAAGAAACAGAAGGAUAUUCUCAAACACCAACUUCUGAGAAAUUCAACUGAUGUCAAUCAAGGUAAUGAGCUUUUUAACUUAUUAGCAAAAAUGUAUUGCAUGUUAUUGUUGAUGAUAAAGUUAUGAUUAGGCUGACAUGUUUUAUUCAAGUGUAACAACAAAAAUAUAAUUUAGAGUCUAACAAAGUCGUGUGAUGAUGUUAAAUUAAACAUAACCAUCAAAAAGAAGUCUAAACUAACAACAUCAAAUAUAAAAAAACCAUAUUCAUAAGUACAAAACAGAAAGCUAACAAUUAAUAGAAAUAAAAACAUUGACUGAAACACAAAAUAUCACAUUGGUUAUCCACAAUCUCUUUCUUCUUGUUAGACUGAGCAUAUUGACAUCAUCACAUGAAUCAAACUCUUUAACACCUUUUGACAGUUCCUUCAACUAUCCAAUCAACAUGAGUAUCAUUGACAAUUGAUGUCAAAUUAGGCGUAACAAAGCUUGCUCGAGACAUCUGUAAAAAUGAAAUGAACAGUGUGAUUUCAUAUCUUCAGGCAAAUACUUGGCCACAGUUUCUGGAAUGUUGCAUACUUUAUUAACAGUGUAUAGAUAGAUCAUACAAAAUUCCAAACUAUCUCUUAGAUGUACUUUCAACAAAUUCUUAUGUCCCUAAAGUUUUUAUCAAUCUCCUUAGAUAUAACAUCUUGUUGAUUAGCCUGCCAAAAAUAUGACAUUUACUCUAAUCGACAAAACAUAAUUCUACAGUUUUAUACAUCACUCUCAGCCAUCACAACUUCUAAGACUCUCCCCAGUUAGCUAGCCAAUCUCUAUGACAAAUCUGUACCUAUAAACCCAAUAAUUUGAAAAUAUCAAACUAAAAUUCAAAAAUGGCAUAACUAAUCGAUAAAAUAUCUUAUAAAGAAAUUUCAAAUACCUCUUACAUACAUAUCAAUAGUCUUUCUUACACUAAUCACACAUGUAUUUCCCAGGAGCAAAUUCUUUCAUUUUUUUAUAACUAAUCUUGGAUGCAUUAUAAUACCAGUGACCAUAAUGACAUUCCACAGCCUCAAUCCUCGCAAAUACCCAAUGAGAGCAAUUCUGUGAAUAAUAAUACUUCUUCACUAAAAUUCAUGAUGUAGAUAACUCACUUCAGAUAGAAAAUAUAGAAAAAUAUAAUAAUACAUUCAAAAUCUGAAAUUUAAACCUCUAGGCAGUGAAUAUCUUCUAAAGAUUUAGUUGUAUUAAGCUGUAUGGAACAGCAGCCCCUGUUGUAGAGUACAACACAACAGGGGAUCCAAAUCCUUUUAUUUAACUUGAAACUGACAAAACUGCAAAACAUAAAUGAUUAGUAUAUGGAGAAAAAUACAGAACAUGAUUCCUAAAUGCAGAACAUGAUUCCAAAGAUAUAGCUAAUCAGAUUUGAAUAAACUGCUGAACAAUGAUUAGUACAUUGAGAAAAAUGCUUCACUAACAGAUUACUAAAUAAAUCAAAACAUGAUUCCUAAAUUAGACUAAAACCAAAAUACCAAAAUGGAUAUCAGAUAAGAUUAAUGUAAUAUCCGGAAAAAAAAAUAUUGAAUAUUGUUUUUAUUAAGGAAUGAAUUUUGUGAAUAUCUUGUUUAAGAUAUGGUUUGGUAAGUCUUAAUUGAUUUAUAUUAUUUUUGUGGUUAUGUUUUUACCUAAGCAAUGUGUAAUUGUGAUAAUUAAUUAAUUUAUGAAUUAAAUAUCUUAAUUAGCUAAUUUUCUCUCCCUCUCCCUCUCUCUUUUUUCGAAACCUUCUCUCCCUCUCCCCACUAUUUUCUCAA